UGUAUUCCAAAUUCCUUUGAGAACUGGAAAUUAAAAAAGGGUGUUACAACUCCAAAGGAUGUUACAACUUUAACCUCUCACAAAAAAAACAAACAGAAAAAUUCCAUAUCCACCAAUAAAGUCAACAAUAGAACAAUCAAGUGAUUCUUCAGAAAAUAUUCAUGUGCCUAUUACAUCAAGAAAAUUUAAUCGAAACACACCGUUGAAACAAUUAUAUUCAUCAAGGGAACACUUCCAGUCCAUUGCUGAGAAGCAAGCUAAUGCUGAAUUUAUACAUGCUGAAUGUGCUAAAAUUCAUGCAGAAGCAUGCAAAAUGAAUGUGGUUGCAAUGACAAAAAUUGCACAUGCUGUACAAAAAUUAUCAGAUACUGCUGCUGCACAGGUUGUUAACGAUAGUCAACGCAUACAAGUUUUCGAGAA